rnacentral:rRNA from 1 species
CCUACGGGAGGCAGCAGUGAGGAAUAUUGGUCAAUGGACGAGAGGCUGAACCAGCCAAGUAGCGUGAAGGAUGACUGCCCCAUGGGUUGUAAACUUCUUUUAUAUGGGAAUAAAAUGUUCCACGUGUGGGAUUUUGUAUGUACCUUAUGAAUAAGGAUCGGCUAACUCCGUGCCAGCAGCCGCGGUAAUACGGAGGAUCCGAGCGUUAUCCGGAUUUAUUGGGUUUAAAGGGAGCGUAGGGGGAUUGUUAAGGCAGUUGUGAAAGUUUGCGGCUCAACCGUAAAAUUGCAGUUGAAACUGGCAGUCUUGAGUACAGGAGAGGUGGGCGGAAGUCGUGGUGUAGCGGUGAAAUGCUUAGAUAUCACGAAGAACUCCGAUUGCGAAGGCAGCUCACUGGACUGCAACUGACACUGAGGCUCGAAAGUGUGGGUAUCAAACAGGAUUAGAUACCCGUGUAGUC